CGCUGUCGCCGGCGCGUGCCGACGGAUUGCUGACGGGGCGUCACUUCGCACGUUCAGCGUCACGGACGCCAACGACCAGAGUUUCAUAACUUGCUCAAUUUAGGCGCCACAGGACAGCUUCUUCAACGUGGUUCCUGGCACGGCGCCGACAUUUGCCAUCUGGGUGAAAGCCGGCGUGAAGUUGGACGCGGCGACGUCACCUCUCCUCGUUAACGUUCAGUGCGUUGAUGACAGAUCGCCGGCGAAUAUCAUAACCGAAACGUUCACGGUUCCCUUACUUGAUAAGCCUCCGACGUUCGUUACGGGAAUUCCCGGCACAUCUCCGUCUAUUUCCGACUCGAC